rnacentral:tRNA from 1 species
GCGGGAGUGCCAGAGUGGUCAAAUGGAGCACGUUAAGGCCGUGCUGGCUUAGUGCCUACAGGGGUUCAAAUCCUCUCUCCCGCA